rnacentral:rRNA from 1 species
GAUGAACGCUGGCGGCGUGCCUAGUACAUGCAAGUCGAGCGAACGGACGAGAAGCUUGCUUCUCUGAUGUUAGCGGCGGACGGGUGAGUAACACGUGGAUAACCUACCUAUAAGACUGGGAUAACUUCGGGAAACCGGAGCUAAUACCGGAUAAUAUUUUGAACCGCAUGGUUCAAAAGUGAAAGACGGUCUUGCUGUCACUUAUAGAUGGAUCCGCGCUGCAUUAGCUAGUUGGUAAGGUAACGGCUUACCAAGGCAACGAUGCAUAGCCGACCUGAGAGGGUGAUCGGCCACACUGGAACUGAGACACGGUCCAGACUCCUACGGGAGGCAGCAGUAGGGAAUCUUCCGCAAUGGGCGAAAGUCUGACGGAGCAACGCCGCGUGAGUGAUGAAGGUCUUCGGAUCGUAAAACUCUGUUAUUAGGGAAGAACAUAUGUGUAAGUAACUGUGCACAUCUUGACGGUACCUAAUCAGAAAGCCACGGCUAACUACGUG